rnacentral:rRNA from 1 species
AAUUUUGGACAAUGGGGGAAACCCUGAUCCAGCCAUUCCGCGUGAGUGAAGAAGGCCUUCGGGCUGUAAAGCUCUUUUGUCCGGAACGAAACGGUGAGCGUGAAUAUCGCUCGCUACUGACGGUACCGGAAGAAUAAGCACCGGCUAACUACGUGCCAGCAGCCGCGGUAACACGUAGGGGGCGAGCGUUGUCCGGAUUUAUUGGGCGUAAAGAGCUCGUAGGCGGUUUCGUUAGUCGGGUGUGAAAACUCUAGGCUCAACCUGGAGACGCCACCCGAUACUGCGAUGACUAGAGUCCGGUAGGGGAGUGUGGAAUUCCUGGUGUAGCGGUGAAAUGCGCAGAUAUCAGGAGGAACACCAACGGCGAAGGCAGCACUCUGGGCCGGAACUGACGCUGAGGAGCGAAAGCGUGGGUAGCGAAC